AGUAUCUCCCAGUCGAGCAGUCUCGUCUGGAGCCUUCUUACUUGUUAUUAUUAGAACAAGAUCAGAGGUGCCUCUGGCGCAACACUUAUUUUAAUACUUUUUUAAAUUUCAAAGUUUUUAUAGCUUGGUUCAACUUUACGUAGGCAGAUAAGACACCUGUACGCGCUAUUUUGCGAAAAUUUGUAGUUCAUGCUCAACCGGAAGAUCUACGCACAGCUUUAGCGCUAGCUCAAAAAGCUGAGCUCUGCAAUGAAUAUUCACAAUUCGCUGCAAGUUUCGCGAAAACGAACGAUGAAGGAAAUCAAAAUUCAUUUGCUCAACGUCACCCACGUUACCAGAAUAAUGACGGUAAUACCAAUCAGGGAAAUUAUUCUGAGACCAAAAGAUCUCAAAACAGUAAUAACAACAUUGCAAACAGCCAACCAAAAUCUCAAGCGGGCCCCCACGGAGGGCUUCAAUAGGCCCUUAGGCAACAGCUCCAACCUCGAUAACAAUAUCCAUCAAUGCCAACUACUCUGUUAAUGAUUAUCGGUCCUUAGCUGAAUAUUAUUGUCAAACAUACGAAGAUGAUGUAA